UCGCACUUAAUAGAAUUUUUACAGCUCUAUUUUGGAACACUUCCUUCCUGAGAAUAUGGAAGAAAUAUCAAGUAUUAUUAUACUUCCUCAAGGUUUUUAAAUUUCAUGUUUUAGUGUUCAUUUUAAGCCUUCACAAUCAACUUGGACCCACAGACACUAAUUUGUGACUAGAGGCCAGACUAGUUCGCACACAAAGCAAUUAAAUUUGGCAAGCUAUGAUUCCAAGGAUGAAUAUUUUCCAGUUGCGGUAGGAAGCCAAAUGCACAGAAAAGAAAACAGCUGUUUCACGUUAGUUCCUGAUGGGACUUUUCAUGCUCACGCCGCCAAGUUUAUUUUCCAUUCAGACGCACUGUGAGAGCGCAGUUGUCUUGGCUGCCCUCGAAUGUCUCCAGUUGCUCUGGGAGGCUGAGGUGGCUCUGUGCUAUGGUCAUUUAGCCCGGGGUAACCAGUCGAAUUGGUCAAAUGCCAAGGCAGACUUCAUGUGUUAGCUACUUAACGGCUUCCUUUGGUAACGGUCACAGCCCAGCUGAGGGAGAAACAUCAGACCCCUCACCCAGGGGUGUGCUUACUUGGCUUCUCCAACUUCUGGAAACCAUGAUUCCCAGGCAUUCCAGCAGACCUGAGGGGUCAGGGAUUAGUUGAGCAGCACUCAUGUCCUCAAGCUGGCCUUUGGAAGCAAAGAAUGUUUUGAAUUUCUCACCAGUGACGAAGCUACUGAAUCACCGGGGGCUGAGAGCAGUGGCCCGCAGAACAGGAAAGGUGGCCCUGGGAGGGGACUACACCUUCUAUGCUGCCACAGGCACAGGGCGGCACCCUGCCUGGGAGCCAGAGGUCUCGCCCAUGCCUUCUGCAUCUGGCCCUCUUUCCCUUGAUGUGACCCUGAGCUUGCCUCAGGGAACCUUCACAGUUCCCUCUCAGGCCUUGAGUGCGGAAUUUAAUCAAUAGAGGAGAGUUUUUCAAAGCACUUCCAGGCUGCCUUCCUCGAUGCUACAUGCUGACAUGUUUCAAGAGCACUACACUUCCUAAAAUGCACCCUUCCCUCCCCUUGGAAAACAAGAGGCGGCUUUGUUCCAGUGUGUCAUCAUGGCUGACUUGGAGCAGAGGCAGUUUUCCAUUUGGCAGAAAUGCAUGUAAAUGGAUGACUUAAAAAAGCACUUUGGGUUUAUUUUUAAGCUAACACUUAUGCAACUACUGUGGUAUCAUCAGAUCAGAGAACAUUUUAGAUGAGAAAACAAGUGCCGGCGUUGACUCCUUUUGCAGCCAUGUACAGAGAAUGGCCACAACCAGUGGGGAUGAAGCACGUUCCACUGCACAGCGACCUGAAUGGCAGCACAGCCUGGCGUAUCUCAUUCAGAGGUGACACUUGCCAUGGAGGGGAGAGAAUGCAAGGAUUCCACAGAUGCCACUUCCAGCCCUGGGCUUACAGCACUGGAUCUAAAAAAUCUGCAGGAGAGCUGUUCUGCGAUGUUUCUGCAUUAGAUAAGCAGUGUUUUCCCUCUGAUGCUUUCACAAACUGGAGGACGGCUUGGCACCGCAGAUUUGCAGCUCCUGGGCUCACUACUUACCAGUUGUGCAACUCAGCAAAAGCGGCCUUGAUCUUCUUCACAGAGCUGUCCACUUCCUCCUUGAUCAUGACACGGUAUCUGGUUAGGGAAACAGUGCAGCGUUGCAGAUCCUUCACUGAUUUUUCAAUAUUUGGGCCUAAAAUUGAUGUCAAGAAAAAAAAGUAUUACUUUGAGCACUUUAUCCUUUGUGUGCUACACAAUAAAACAAACCAACACACCAAAA